rnacentral:rRNA from 1 species
GAGUUUGAUCGUGGCUCAGAGUGAACGCUGGCGGUAGGCCUAACACAUGCAAGUCGAACGGUAACAGGUCUUUCGGGAUGCUGACGAGUGGCGGACGGGUGAGGAAUACAUCGGAAUCUGCUCAGUCGUGGGGGAUAACGCAUGGAAACGUGCGCUAAUACCGCAUACGACCUUCGGGUGAAAGCAGGGGAAUCUUUAGGGAUCCUUGCGCGAUUGAAUGAGCCGAUGUCGGAUUAGCUAGUUGGUAGGGUAAAAGCCUACCAAGGCGACGAUCCGUAGCUGGUCUGAGAGGAUGAUCAGCCACACUGGGACUGAGACACGGCCCAGACUCCUGCGGGAGGCAGCAGUGGGGAAUAUUGGACAAUGGGGGCAACCCUGAUCCAGCCAUACCGCGUGGGUGAAGAAGGCCUUCUGGGUUGUAAAGCCCUUUUGUUGGGGAAGAAAAACAACGGGUUAAUACCCCGUUGGUAUGACGGUACCCAAAGAAUAAGCACCGGCUAACUUCGUGCCAGCAGCCGCGGUAAUACGAAGGGUGCAAGCGUUACUCGGAAUUACUGGGCGUAAAGGGUGCGUAGGUGGUUGCGCCAGUCUGUCGUGAAAGCCCUGGGCUUAACCUGGGAAUGGCGAUGGAAACUGUGCAACUAGAGUGUGACAGAGGGUGGUGGAAUUCCUGGUGUAGCAGUGAAAUGCGUAGAGAUCAGGAGGAACAUUCGUGGCGAAGGCGGCCACCUGGGUCAACACUGACACUGAGGCACGAAAGCGUGGGGAGCAAACAGGAUUAGAUACCCUGGUAGUCCACGCCCUAAACGAUGCGAACUGGAUGUUGGGUCCAACUUGGGAUUCAGUAUCGAAGCUAACGCGUUAAGUUCGCCGCCUGGGGAGUACGGUCGCAAGACUGAAACUCAAAGGAAUUGACGGGGGCCCGCACAAGCGGUGGAGUAUGUGGU